UACGUAGGGUGCGAGCGUUGUCCGGAAUUAUUGGGCGUAAAGAGCUCGUAGGCGGUUUGUCGCGUCGGCCGUGAAAACUUGGGGCUUAACCCCAAGCCUGCGGUCGAUACGGGCAGACUUGAGUUCGGCAGGGGAGACUGGAAUUCCUGGUGGUAGCGGUGAAAUGCGCAGAUAUCAGGAGGAACACCGGUGGCGAAGGCGGCCUCCUGGAUCGAUACUGACGCUGGAGGCGCGAAAGCGUGGGGAGCAAACAGG
rnacentral:rRNA from 1 species